rnacentral:tRNA from 1 species
GGGCGGAUGGCGAAAUUGGUAGACGCACCACACUCAAAAUGUGGCGGCCUUGCGGUCAUGCGAGUUCGACUCUCGCUCUGCCCA